UGGAAACUAGAUUACACAGAAAAGCCUUUGGUCCAGAGUGACUGUGACUUGUUUAAAAUUGUUCCAGUUUUCUGUCAAAAACUGCUAGACAGAAACAUGUCCAGAGGGCUUAAAUGGAGUUCUUAUUUGUUUUUCUGUAGUGCCUGGAACAUUCUGGGAUGACAGAGAGCUUUUCUAAAAGUGUAGGCUCCUUGCAUGCAAAGCAGAAUUACACAGGAUGCCAGCAUGAGAACACGGCAGAGGCCUGGGAAGUUGUUACUUUUUAUUGGGAAGAAACCACAAGCAGCAGAGGAGCAGUAGGGCCAAAGAUCAGCACUGACUGGGGAUGCCAGCAAAACAGAUUCAUCUCUACCUCAAGUGUUGUGUGAUGCUGCAGGAACGUGCCAGCCAAAAUAAGGCAAACAAUAAGAAAAUAUCAUCUGCCUUCGAUAGGGAGCCAGCAGUCACCAAAAGAUAAAAGAAGGGAAAGGAGAGGAACAGCAAUGCAAGUAGCAGAGAUGCAGCUUGAGAAGUGGAG
rnacentral:lncRNA from 1 species